rnacentral:misc_RNA from 1 species
CUGCCCUCAAGCCCGGCUUGUGUGUUGGGCGUGGUCCCCCCGGUUUAGGGGGGACCUGCCCGAAAGGCAGCGGCGACGUUCCGCCUAGGUCCUCGAGCGUAUGGGGCUUUGUCACCCGCUCGGGAGGGGCCUACGGGCGUUGGCCAUCCACCAUUUUUUUUAACGG